ACGGGAGGCAGCAGUGAGGAAUAUUGGUCAAUGGGCGAGAGCUUGAACCAGCCAAGUCGCGUGCGGGACGAAGGCCCUACGGGUCGUAAACCGCUUUUAUACGGGAAUAAAGUGCGCCACGCGUGGCGUUUUGCAGGUACCGUAGGAAUAAGGAUCGGCUAACUCCGUGCCAGCAGCCGCGGUAAUACGGAGGAUCCGAGCGUUAUCCGGAUUUAUUGGGUUUAAAGGGUGCGUAGGCGGCUUGUCAAGUCAGAGGUGAAAGCCCGGGGCCCAACUCCGGAACUGCCUUUGAUACUGUCAGGCUUGAAUUCGGAUGCCGUGGGAGGAAUGAGUAGUGUAGCGGUGAAAUGCAUAGAUAUUACUCAGAACACCGAUUGCGAAGGCAUCUCACGAAUCCGACAUUGACGCUGAGGCACGAAAGCGUGGGGAUCAAACAGGAUUAGAUACCCUGGUA
rnacentral:rRNA from 1 species